rnacentral:rRNA from 1 species
UACGUAGGUGACAAGCGUUGUCCGGAUUUACUGGGCGUAAAGAGCGCGCAGGCGGUCGUUCAAGUCGAGUGUGAAAGCCCCCGGCUCAACUGGGGAGGGUCAUUCGAUACUGAUCGACUCGAAGGCAGGAGAGGGUAGUGGAAUUCCCGGUGUAGUGGUGAAAUGCGUAGAUAUCGGGAGGAACACCGAUGGCGAAGGCAGCUCUCUGGGUCGGCCCUGACGCUGAGGCGCGAAAGCGUGGGGAGCGAACGGG